UACGGAGGGUGCAAGCGUUGUCCGGAAUCACUGGGCGUAAAGGGCGCGUAGGCGGCUCAUGAAGGCUGUGGUGAAAGUCCGGGGCUCAACCUCGGAUCGGCCGUGGCGACUCGUGGGGCUGGAGCACUGUAGAGGCGGGGUGGAAUUCCGGGUGUAGCGGUGGAAUGCGUAGAGAUCCGGAAGAACACCAGUGGCGAAGGCGGCC
rnacentral:rRNA from 1 species